ACAUGCCUACAACAUAGAAUUAAUGCACCGGAUCCCAUUAAAACUCCACAGUUAAGCAUGCACAUGAUAGAGCAGUACUGGGAUGGGUGACUUCCUCGGAAGUCCUAGUAUUUUACAUGCC
rnacentral:rRNA from 1 species